GCGAAGUGGCAGGAGGGUCGCUCCCCGGGGCUGUCCCCAGGGGAAGAGGAGAGCGAGCAGCAGGGCCGGGGCUGGGCGCCUCUGAGAGGCCAGGCCAGGGAGGGCUGCAGCGCCCUCCUCCUUGGAGCGUGUGUUGGUGGCAGUACGUGGGUCACCUAGGAUGAAGAUGUGGCCGGCAGCUGGGCUCGGAGCUGUGUGUGGUGACUGGAUGCCAGUGAAGGGGUGUCGUCGGCCGAUCCCUGUUCCCCAAAUUCAUCACCCGAGUCCCGACCCCCAGCACCCUCGAGUGUGACUGUAUGUGGAGGCACGACCUUUAAAGAGGGAGACCACGCGGGACACGGGGAGGAGACGCCGUCCACACGCCCAGGAGCGAGGCCUCGGGGCGAACCGCCCGCCCACACCGGGGUCUCGGGCUCUGGCCUCGGGGACCGGGCACGGGAAGCAUCUGCGGUUUGAGCCGGCGGCUGUGGUGCUUCGCUGGCGAACCUGCCAGGAUGCUGUUUUCCUCGUGCCGUCCCAAGUGCAGUUCACGCAGUGACCGUCCUACCCCCCUUGCCUGUCACAUUUGACUGAAAACAUUUCCCAGUUUCUCACUGGCUGUGUAAUGCUUUUGCAACCUCUCUAUCGAGGCAUAAUCCACACGGGACGGACCGCACACGCCCAAAGCACACGGCCCGCUGGGUUCUGCACCCGCGAGGCCGAACACAUCUGCCACCCCCAGAAGCGCCCUCGGUCCCCGCAGCCCCUUCUCCCAUCCCUCCCCGUCCCGGCCCCCCCUUCCCAAGCUCCAGGGGCCCGGUCAGCUCGCAUUUUAUAAGUUUUCCAUAAAUGGAAAUGCAGUAUGUGCUCUUGCCGUCUGGCCCCUUUCGCUCCCAUAACUCGUGUGAGACGCAUCCGUGCCUCGCGUGCCUGGGCCCACAUUCCUUCUGCCUGCCGCGGUGGGGACACACCACAGCUUGUUUACCCAUUCACUGUUGAUGGACAUUUGGGUCGUUUCCAGUUUUUGACGAUUAAAAACAAAGCAGUAUUUACAUUCA